UACGUAGGGUGCGAGCGUUGUCCGGAAUUACGGGGCGUAAAGAGCUCGUAGGCGGUUUGUUGCGGCGGCGGGGAAAUCCCGAGGCUCAACCUCGGGUCUGCAGUCGAUACGAGCAAACUAGAGUGUUGCAGGGGAGACUGGAAUUCCUGGUGUAGCGGUGAAAUGCGCAGAUAUCAGGAGGAACACCGGUGGCGAAGGCGGGUCUCUGGGCAACAACUGACGCUGAGGAGCGAAAGCGUGGGGAGCGAACAGG
rnacentral:rRNA from 1 species